rnacentral:rRNA from 1 species
AACGAACGCUGGCGGCAGGCCUAACACAUGCAAGUCGAACGAGAAGGCGUAGCAAUACGCUUGUAAAGUGGCGAACGGGUGAGGAAUACGUGGGUAACCUACCCUCGAGUGGGGGAUAACCCGCCGAAAGGCGGGCUAAUACCGCGUACGCUUCCGAUCUCGCGGGAUCGGAAGGAAAGCUGUCCCAAGGGGAUGGCGCUCAAGGAUGGGCUCAUGUCCUAUCAGCUUGUUGGAGGGUAACGGCCUACCAAGGCAUCGACGGGUAGCUGGUCUGAGAGGACGAUCAGCCACACUGGCACUGCGACACGGGCCAGACUCCUACGGGAGGCAGCAGUGAGGAAUAUUGCGCAAAGUGGGACGAAA